rnacentral:lncRNA from 1 species
GUGUGUGUGUCGUGACUUAGAGAGAGAAAGAGGGGGAAACUCCUUCAAACCCUAAAACUUGAGAAAUUUGAGAAAUUGAAUGAACUAGAAGGUGAUUUGUUUGCAUGUUUGAAGUUCCAGAGCAUACAAGAUCACUACAACAUAAGGCAACUCAAGUGAAGCUCUAGGAGCUCAAGUCGGGACAGACACGCGUUUGAAAGGAAAACUUUGAGGUAAACUUAAAAAUCAGGCACCAGAUGGAGGACCAAGCUACUCAAAGAACCGAACAUACUCGAAUGCCUACUAACUUCUGUCUUUUUUUGUUCAUGUUUCUGUAAAAUGAUGACUUAUACUUUGAAGCAAACCAUUACGCUACGUUUGUUACACAUGUAUUUUGGUUUAAUCACGAAAUCAAUU